rnacentral:lncRNA from 1 species
ACAAAUCAAGAACCCCACAUCACAACCCCAAAUCAGAAAUCAAUAGCCUAAUCACAAAUCACAACCCAAAAUCAGAAAUCAAGAACCCCUAAAUCAUAACCCUAAAUCACAAAUAAUCAACAUUGUCGUUCCCACUCCUCUGCUUAGUUUCUUAGGGUCCGAGCCACAAGAUGCAUCGGUGGAGAUGCCAACACCAGAAGAUCUUGUCGGCAUGUUGACGGGGAUGGUUGUGACGAGAGAGAGCAAGUUGCCAGAUGGAUAUUUCUUGCGAUUUGUUGCACAUAUCCAAUGGGUUUCAGAGGCUCUCCUUUAACCUCUUCUCGAAUUCGAUGCACAAACGCUUUUGAAACCUCUAUACUAGACCCGGGUAGAGGAAAGGGGGUCAAAAAUGGUGUUGAAGUUGAGAGAAGGGAAAGGAUUUGAGAAGAGGAUGAUGAGAUAUCUUAGGGUUAAGAAGCAGAAAAUGAGUUUUAUUUUGAUGGAUUAGUGUUGCGUUGUGUUGUGGUGGAUUUCU